rnacentral:rRNA from 1 species
GACGAACCGUGCGAACGUUAUUCGGAAUCACUGGGCUUAAAGCGCGUGUAGGCGGGACGGCACGUCGGUCGCUGAAAUCCCCCGGCUUAACCGGGGAACGGGCGUCGAUACGACCGUCCUGGAGGGGCGUAGGGGGACCUGGAACUUCCGGUGGAGCGGUGAAAUGCGUUGAGAUCGGAAGGAACGCCCGUGGCGAAAGCGGCAUCCUGGACCGGUAUUGACGCUGAGGCGCGAAAGCCAGGGGAGCAAACGGG